rnacentral:rRNA from 1 species
AAAAACAUGUCUAUUUGGUAGGUAAAAAUAGUCUGACCUGCUCACUGAUAGGUAAUUAAAGAGCCGCGGUAUACUGACCGUGCAAAGGUAGCAUAAUCAUUAGUUUUUUAAUUGAAAACUUGUAUGAAUGGUUGGACAAGAGAAAAGCUGUCUAUACUACAGAUAUCGAAUUUAACUUUUAAGUGAAAAGGCUUAAAUGAUUUAAAGGGACGAUAAGACCCUAUAAAACUUUAUAUGUUAGUAAAAUUUAAUUAAAUUAUAAAAAUUUAAUUUUACGUUGUAUUUUAUUGGGGCGAUAAAGGUAUAAUUUAUAUUAACUGCUUAAACAAAAAACAAAAAAUAUUUGGUUACUUGUAAAUGAUCCUUUUUAGAGAUUAAAAGACUAAGUUACUUUAGGGAUAACAGCGUAAUUUCUUUUGAGAGCUCAUAUCGAAAAAGAAGAUUGCGACCUCGAUGUUGAAUUAAAAUAUCUGUCACAGGGCAGCCCCUUGAUAAGAAGAUCUGUUCGAUCUUUAAAUUUUUACAUGAUUUGAGUUCAAACCGGCGUGAGCCAGG